rnacentral:rRNA from 1 species
GAUGAACGCUGGCGGCGUGCCUAAUACAUGCAAGUCGAGCGAACAGAUGAGGAGCUUGCUCCUCUGACGUUAGCGGCGGACGGGUGAGUAACACGUGGAUAACCUACCUAUAAGACUGGGAUAACUUCGGGAAACCGGAGCUAAUACCGGAUAAUAUAUUGAACCGCAUGGUUCAAUAGUGAAAGACGGUUUUGCUGUCACUUAUAGAUGGAUCCGCGCCGCAUUAGCUAGUUGGUAAGGUAACGGCUUACCAAGGCAACGAUGCGUAGCCGAUCUGAGAGGGUGAUCGGCCACACUGGAACUGAGACACGGUCCAGACUCCUACGGGAGGCAGCAGUAGGGAAUCUUCCGCAAUGGGCGAAAGCUUGACGGAGCAACGCCGCGUGAGUGAUGAAGGUCUUCGGAUCGUAAAACUCUGUUAUUAGGGAAGAACAAAUGUGUAAGUAACUAUGCACGUCUUGACGGUACCUAAUCAGAAAGCCACGGCUAACUACGU